rnacentral:lncRNA from 1 species
ACUAGGGUGGGCCCUAAAUCCGAUCUGAUUGGUAGUUUUUAGGAGGAGAGACAGGCAGGAAAGGCCACGUGAAGACAGGCGAGAGUGUAGCCGUGGCAGCCACAGCCACGCGGCGCCCACACCCACCGGGAGUGGGAAUGAGACAGGAAGGACCUACCUCCUUUAGAGCCUUCUGAGGGGGCACAGCCCUGCCCACCCCUGGAUUUCAGACUUCUGGGCUUCAGAACUGAGAGAGAAGAAAGAUCUGUGGCUUUAUGCUAUUUGCAGUCCUGUGUUAUGGUGGCCCCUGGAGACAUACAGGUGGGGGUGGUGGCAGAUACCUGCCUUGGCCUGCUGGCUGCUGCUCCAGUCUCCCUUGUGCUAGAUGUUGAGUGGCACCCUGGCUCCAUGCUGAGCCCUCCCACAGGCUGAGGGGCCCAGGAGCACCUCGUGUUUUCUGUGUUCACUGGAGGAGACAAUGUUCUAUAAAUCAACGAGAGCUGCUAGGUGCUCAUGUGGGCAGGUGGGGCCUUCACGGAUGCCAGGAGCUGGGACCCGUCUAUCCCUGAUUCUGCUGCCCUGGGGCACACCCCUGGGCCUUGGUCUCCUCAUGUGUAAAAGGGGCAGCAGGGUAGAGCAGGUGAUGUCCGCAGAAGCGCCCAUUCCUGCACCCCCUUCAGAGGUCUAGAUCCUCAACUUGACCUCCCAGGCCUAGGGCAUCGUAGCCAGAAGGAAUGAUGAUGUAGGAGGCUGUCACCAUGGCCCGCCUGCCUGGCUCCCAGGCCAGCCCCUCACUCGCUAGCUCCUGCUGCUCCUGAGGAGGUGCCCGGUCACCGCAGAGAGGCACCCCGAGUGCAGGCGGCCACACCGCGAGUGGAUGCUGUGGCUGCCCCGACUUUGAUCCCAGGGCGGGAAUGGAGAGCACUGUGACUCCAGCCCUGGCUCGGAGCACCAUAUCCAUCAAUAGAAGAGGAAGGCUCUGUGCAGCAGUAGCGUGGGGCCUGCCGGGCAAUUGAUUUAAAUCAUUUUAUAGAGAACCUAUGUAAAAUAAAAAGCCUUUAAUCACA